rnacentral:rRNA from 1 species
GGGCUGCGAGGGGGGGUGUAAUUUUUUUUCUCUCUUUUUAGGCGUCCGGCCUUCGGUUCCAAUCCAGAACUGGCGGGGUGGCCUUGGUGGGCGUCGGGCAGCGGCCGCCGGCAGGUGCCGCCGCUAGGCUGGGGCGCGGAGGGGCGCGCCGGAGGGAGCUGGGUCUAGAACGGCCCCUGCGUACUUCCUCGUCGCUUAGCCGGUCUAGAUCCUCCAAAGCCCGGCCAGGGCAGUACGUCGGGCCGCCCCGCGGGAGGCCGUCGAGCGGCCGGAGCAGCGGCGCCGGCCUCGUCGGCCGGUGCCGCAGCGUCGUCGUCGUCCGCGUCGUGGAUCCCAAGCGGUCCUUAGUCCGUUACUACGUCGUUGUCGUCGUCGUCGUCGUUAGGAUGGUCCGGCCAUACGGCGUACCAUACUACCCGCCUCCCCCGCCGAAGGGGGUCAGGAGCCCGGGCUACCCCGGCAAGGUCCCGGUCUCCCCGGACGGGGUCGGGCCACCUGGCGUCCCGGACCAACGCCCGGUCGUCAUGUUGGUCUCGUGUUACGUCGUCGUCCGUAUGUACGUCAAAGACUACGUCGUCGUCUUCAGGGUACCCUACGUUGAGGUCGUCGUCGUCGUCGUCCGGUUUUACUUAUACCGUCCUGGCAGGUGUUCCCCCCUGGUCCUACGCCGACGGUUGGGGCACUUCUACGUCCUCGAGUACAGGGAAGUCCGGGUCCGGGUCCGGGUCCGAGUCCGAGUCCGAGUCCGAGUCCGGGUCCGUGUCCGCGUCCGCGUCUACGAAUUCUCUGUCAGGCUCGUAGAAGUCGUCCGCCUCUUCGUCGGUCUCGUCCCCGUCGCCCGGCCAUCGUCGCUCGUUUCCUCGCCACUGUACUCCGGAGGAUACGGUGGUGUUCCUUAGGGACCCGUCGUCUACGGUAGUCGACCAUACCACUCCGGCUACGUCGGUUACGUUCCAGUUCACCCGUACCGGUCGUACCCACCAUAGGGCAACGUUCGAUAGGUACGGACCCGUUUCCUCGUCUUUUAGCUAGACAGACUAGGACGUUUACGUUCAGAGUAAAGAGUUUAGUAUGGAUAGACCGUCAGGUCCUACCGGCGGUACGUCUUCGUCUUGUGCUGUUUGUACCGACGUGUCGUCGUCGUCGUCGUCGUCGUUGUCGUCGUCGUUGUCGUCGUCGUUGUCGUCGUCGUUGUUGUCGUCGUCUUAGUCGUUUACGAAGGAUCCGUCCACUUGUCACUACGGGGUCAUUUACCCUUAUUAGGACCAGUCCGAGGUAACUUCGGGGCCGUCGGAGGGGACGGAUCAAGAAGACAAAGACGACCUCGUCUCUGUUUCUACCGCUUAGGCUCGUUGAACGUCUACGUCGUCGUCAAAAGACGGGUUUCAAGUUUACUCUCCCGACACUCCGGCGGGUACUGUUACCCGUUGCGGCCCGUUUACUACGUAUACUGGGUUUCAAGACCUGUGCCCUUAUUCUAAAGACUCGUCGGGUUAGGUUUCUUAUGGGAACGCUCAAGUCUUCGCUACGUCGACGUCAUACGUUCUGUCAACGUCGUCCGAUUAGCUCGAUGGCGGGGAUGUCGUUGAGGACCACUUUGUCCUCCUAGUGUCCGGGGUUGAGUUCCACCAGCCGGCUUAAGCUUAAAGUGUUUUGUAGUUGAAGUACAUGAAUUUCGAGUUUAUAAUCGAAAAGCCGCAGACUUCGCACCACUGGCAUGUGAGGGUGGCCUUCAAGAACUUAAUUAGUACAGAGGAGGCGGUGACGGCCUGGGUGUCUGCGUCGACCAGAGACCUGGAGGUCAUUAUGGGUUAGCACUUUCCCGACGAAGUCAGUUACGACUACUUGUUCCUUCCGGGUACCUCUCACCACUAUUUCGAGGACUUUUUGGAGAUAACAACUUCCCUGGGAGAAAUGGUUUCGGCCUCCAAAGACGAAGCCUUCUCUUUUGACCAAGACGUUCACCGGGGUACGUUCACUGCCUUCAAGGUGGGUUCCUCGGAGAAUCUUAAAAUGGUCAAAGACGUGGACUUGUUUCAUUGUGACGAGGGUAAUUUAGGCUCGUCCUUGGUCUUUCCCCAUAGGUCUCUUGUGGACCCUCUUCACUAAUGUCACCACUUUCCCCUUUUAGACAUGGCUGACUAUCACCAAGCCGUCUACGACUCGUCCGUUUUUCUCGACGGAGAUGUUCAUCGCGUGGUAGAGGUUCCCUACAUGGGUCUUUUAUAGUACCGGGUAAUAAACUAAAGGGCAGGAAAUGAUCCUUUGUACUAAGGUACGGGGGACGUUUAAUGUUGCCAUCAGACCGUGAACCAAUACUGUACUUUCUAAAUAACCGAGUCCUUCCGUACUACCAAGAACCGUUCUUUGCUCUCCUAUUGAACUUUUUCUAAUCGCCGAACGAAAGUUAAUUAGAUCUCUCCUUUUCCUAGGCCGGUCUAGAACAAAACUCCGAUGUCUAACUUCUUUUUUUCGACUUUGAGGAUCUCGCGGUCCGAGCGUACUCCCUACUUCAACUUCUCCACGUUGUUCUUUAUUACCGCUACGGACUAUCCUAUAUGUCCUUCAAACAGUUCGUUACGCUCGCAGUUGCGCAGCUCGAAUAUUCCGUUCAAGUAGUCUACGUUUUCCGGAGCUCUCUCUUCGUCGACUUUAGGUAAAAGGUUACCGCGUUCUUCGAAAACCUUCGUGUAACCCGAUAAGCACUACGUGCUUAUUGAGCAUUGUCUCCCCACCGGUUCAUGGUACUUUCCUACAACUCCCUUAAGAGUUUCUUUUUCCUACUACUAGCUUCGUUUUCUUACCUCCGUGAUUUUUUGUUACUACACCUUGCUAUAGCAGUUUAUGAUAACCUUGUUGUUUGGUCACAAGGACCACUACGUCGAGUUUCUAUGUUACAAGAUAGAAGCAAGAAUAGGGUCUGACUUCUCAUGGAAAUAUUUGAGCCACCCUUUUAAUGACGAUGGUUCUUAGUCGUUGUUCAUCUUCUCCGUCGUUUACGACGUCGUCGUCGACGUGCCCGUGUCCCAGAAAGACUUCUUCUUCACUUCCGACGACGUGUUACACGACCGGUCCUCCAAUACUAUUCUUUGUGUAAGAGCCUCUACUUGCGUGGUUCCCUCCUUUUACGUAGACAAUUGUUCAUGAUAUACAAUCGAGUACGACACUGACUUUUUCAUUGUUUCGUCGGGAGUGAAAACUCUAAUCCUUGAAAUUCCCUGAUGGUUGACCACCCGGAAGUUACCUACGAAAGCGAGAUGUUAUUAUUUAACUUACCGUAAAACCGACUACUCUACCCAGAACCGUUCUGACAUGUCCAAUACCGUAACUAACGUAUGAACUACCUCAAAUUUCCCUUAAUACCUGGUGUAGAGUAUUAUCACGGUUUACGACAGAACCAGUUAACCUUCUCACUUGACGAUUUAACCAAUGGUAGGCGUAGAACGUAGAAAAUACAACCACGUUUCCUAGUUUCCGUUUUCAACAAGAGAGUUCUCCAAAACCGACAGUUUAAAUUACAAGAACACUGUUGUAUACUUAAGCAAUACAAACUAGCAAGAUUCGAAAGUUCUUAACUGACCUUCAUGUAAUAUUAACUACUCCGGGUUGCUUACUUCCUGUCUCUCAGUCAGAACCGGGCACUAGAACUAGCGAUAGCAACGGUCGCUGCAGAGGAAGAGUGACCGUGAGGAGAUGUCUUACUAGAGUUCCUCGAAACCAGGGAAGAUUUAAACAACGAAGGUCUUCACAAACUGUUGGCGUUCCGUAAAGUUCUAACCAAGAGUUUCGGAAAAGUCUCCCUACGAGGAUGUGGAUUGCUUCUUCUACUAACCAACCUCUGGCUCUUCUUUCAAUAAUAAUAAGUAUCCGAAGUAGUUUAAAACCUUGGAAAAUACGAUGCAUCCGCACAACUUCUACAACUUCCAAGUGAAGGUGCCUUCCUGAGAUAACAAAACUCCACGUUUUACAGACGGUAAGUUCCACGAUAUAUACUAACCUAGUUUAGGUGACCGUGGUAAUCUCAACUAGGCCUUCUACUCUUUUAUGCAUAGGUUUCUUUAGGUUACAUGGUCCGGUUCUGUAUAUUCUUAGAAGUUUUGUUUACGUACCUUGACUCCUUUCAGACGUUGGUAGGAAACGACAGUAUAGGGAAAUACUUAAUGAUGCCCUUCCUAAAAUAAUAGUCUAGAACGCCCUUCAACACCUUAGAACUAUCCUAAAAUUAGUUCGAAGUAUCUAGACCAGUGGCACAAGAGGAGAAAUCGUGAUACUGUUUUGAAGAACUGUAGGACCUCCUGAUAAACGUUACCUCCGUUGAACGAAUGUCCGCUUAACUACCUUGUUGAUCGAACCUCCUGGCACUUAGCCGUUAACAACUAAAAUUAUCCGGACCAAGACUCACAAAAUAUAAGAACGAAUCAUAGGCACGACGACCAUCUCCAGACUUAGAAGUCUCACGUCUGUGACAACAUUAAAUACUGGGGCUAGGGUUAGGUGUUUUACUUCUUGUUCGACAACGUUCCCGGGUAGCAUAUCCCGUCUGAUCCCUCCAUUUCCAAUAAAUGUACCUCCGGCAACAACUAUUGUAGAGUUCAAUAGUGUUUCUCCUACUUAACUCCUUGCCUCCUUCACCUCUAGACCUCCUACUGGAACGACCUUUCCUGUCUAUGUACCCAAGUUAGCUUUCAGAGUAGGCGUUAUUAUAUGUUGUUAUGUUUUAACUAUACCGUCUACUUCAGUAAUUACGACCAGCAAAACUAGUUUCUUGCUGGGUACUCCUUUCCGCGUACUGAGACCUCUGAGACGACGUACUACUUCUCUCCAUAGUUCUUUCAGAAGUACUACAAGGAAGCGAUGUCCUUCAAUUAGCAUACUAACGAGCCUGACUUCUCCUUCAGCUCGAGAAACUAGUCUACCUACUUCUUAAGCUAACCUGUCCUCUAUACUACUUUGUAUUAGUCCAAGGUUUCACCGAGGCGCAACCGAGAUGUCUACAACUGACACAACACCGCUCGAAUUGGUUUUUCGGACGGGCUUUACGUAGACCGUCACGAGGACUGUUACCACUGUUUGAGCUCUUUUCUUCCCCCGCUGGGUGCCCCAGACCAUUCAUGAGAUAGAUGUCCCUCAUACUUCUACUUCUACUACUCCUCAGGCUUCUUCUACUACUUCUCUCCUUAUGUGGUAGAGUGGGACUUCUUCUUCGUCCUCUUAGACUUCUCCUUCUCCUUUUACUACUAAGUCAUGGACUACUACUAUUGUUUCUAGUUAGCCUCCUUCUUCUCGGAUUGUUACUACUACCCAUGCUAGAAGUUGUUCCCUGUCCUUCACCUUUUCCAGUGUUCAGACUUCUUCGACCGAGAUGUCCUAGAAGUAGACCUUCGGCCUCUAAUGGUGGUGGCCGGGGAAGGAGUAGAAACUUCUUCAACGCCAGAGAUAGACGUAAUCUAAGGGCGGGUCCGUGAAAAAGUUUUUCUUGAAGUCUACUGAACCUCCUGCCUCUCUAACGUAAUAGUCCCCUGAGUGUAUACCUAGAUGUCGUUAGUCCUUCGACCUUGGUACUGGCCCUACUACCACUCCUACUUGUCCAGGACGUCGGUUUUUAUUUUGCGUUUUCCUCAGAGGCUUGAGCAGGUUCUGGAUCAUGGCUAUUUGUCCUUCUAUCUAGACCACGUCUACCAUGGAAGGGGGUUGCACCACGAGCGGAAAAUAAGGGUCCUCUACCACUAAUACUAAGUGUCGUUCUACGGGUACGAGAACGUCUAGGAUGAAGGUCCGUCGUUCUGUGUCAAGUAGGCCAUCACUUUGUCUUCGCAUUGUACGGUAGUCAUUUCCGAAGAGGACGAAGAUCCCGUCGCUUUAGAUGGGUGAACAGACCCAGACCCCUCCCUAGACGACUCGUGAGGUUCGUCUUAACCUCGUUGUUCCAGUAGUUAAGACGACCGUGUUUCUACAGACUGUCAUACGUCUCUUUCACAUUCUUACAUUAUUCGUUCGAAACCUCCUCUUAACCGUUUCUCCCUGUGGUUUUUUAUGGGUUGUAUCGAAGAACCACCGCUUCCUUACUUUUAAGAAGUAGGUUUCCACACCGACCUUCGUGGGAGCUGGAUGUCUUUUAGCUUAAUGCUCAACUACCUAAUCUCAUAUCGCCGCAUCGACUCAAGUAUCGCCUGUACGUCGUCUACAACUUCUCACACCAAGUUGUAAAGCCGAUGUCUGUACUCCAGGCCCAUCUUCGACUCUAAGAGGUGUUGGAUAAGAAGUUGUAUUACUUCUAGCGGAAGGGUCUGAGACUGAAGGUUCUCCACUUCCUGAGCGACAGCAAAAGCUUAGGGCCUCCACCACGUUCGUCGCGCCGACAGGGUAGUCGUUUCGUGGACCGAAGUCCGGACUUCGCGGCAAGGCGGUGGUGACUUCACCUCGUCGUACCAGGGCCGUCGCCGUUCGUGUCGGUAGUGCGCAGCCGGCCGCUCCGAGGAUCGGCCCGGUUUGGGCUCUCCCUGAGUUCCGUAAGUCCUGGUCCGUCGUCCCUGGUCUCGGAGCUGUCGGGUCCCGACGGCGACGUGGGACCGCUGGACAAGUAGCGGUUCUUCUUCUCCGUUCUGGCCCGAGCCAGGUCGUAGCCCAGCGGUAGGUCGAGUCCGGGGGCACCUGGCGAGAGGGGCUGGUUGUGACCGGCCAACCCGGGCCGCGGCAGCGGGUCUCCGCGCUCCUGUGGCAAGGUCUCCCUGAGAGUGGGCAGGGUCGUCAGGUACGGGCCCACCCCGCGCGUGAGCCUGGCGCCCCCCUCGAGCGGCGGGCCGUAGCCCCUGUAGGUGACCCGGUUCGGACGGUUCGCCGUCGCCUGGCUGUGUCCGUUCUCCGCCGGCUCGGUGAACACUGCGCUGCCCGUGUAAGAGGUACGUAGUAGUAGCGGCGGUACGCAGCGCCUGAAUGCCGGUACUCUUCUUCCCUUACGACACACCCAUCAUCCCUCAUACAACCCAUAAACAAACAAAUGACAUUUCUCCUUGUGAAGGAAAUUAUCGGAAACAAUACACCAUCCACCAAAUCACCACGUUGGUCUCCUACGUACACAAGAGUACACCUUCCCUGUCACUAUUACCUUUACUCGACCACAAAUCAAUUAUUAGUCAAUCAUUAAUAGUAGACAACAUACAAAGGUAUUCGUUUCAACAAUGGUCCUGGACUAUUUAAUUAAUUGUCGCGAAACGAAAGGUACGACGUAGCA